CCUACGGGAGGCAGCAGUGAGGAAUAUUGGUCAAUGGACGAGAGUCUGAACCAGCCAAGUAGCGUGAAGGAUGACUGCCCUAUGGGUUGUAAACUUCUUUUAUAUGGGAAUAAAAUGUUCCACGUGUGGGAUUUUGUAUGUACCAUAUGAAUAAGGAUCGGCUAACUCCGUGCCAGCAGCCGCGGUAAUACGGAGGAUCCGAGCGUGAUCCGGAUUUAUUGGGUUUAAAGGGAGCGUAGGUGGAUUGGUAAGUCAGUUGUGAAAGUUUGCGGCUCAACCGUAAAAUUGCAGUUGAAACUGGCAGUCUUGAGUACAGUAGAGGUGGGCGGAAUUCGUGGUGUAGCGGUGAAAUGCUUAGAUAUCACGAAGAACUCCGAUUGCGAAGGCAGUUCACUGGACUGCAACUGACACUGAGGCUCGAAAGUGUGGGUAUCAAACAGGAUUAGAUACCCGGGUAGUC
rnacentral:rRNA from 1 species